rnacentral:tRNA from 1 species
UGGCAAGAUGGCCGAGUUGGUCUAAGGCGUUAGACGUCAGUAUCCCCACAUUGAUCUUCCACUCAGAUCCCAAUCUAACUCCCACAUAGUCAAGACACUAAGUCGUCUUCGCUGUUAUACAGUGAGCAUUCUAAUCUCGCAAGAGGCACGGGUUCGAAUCCCGUUCUUGUCAU